rnacentral:rRNA from 1 species
CUUAGUGGCGGACGGGUGAGUAACGCGUGGGUAACCUGCCUUACACUGGGGGAUAACACUUAGAAAUAGGUGCUAAUACCGCAUAAGCGCACGAAGCCGCAUGGAUUUGUGUGAAAAACUCCGGUGGUGUAAGAUGGACCCGCGUCUGAUUAGCUUGUUGGCGGGGUAACGGCCCACCAAGGCGACGAUCAGUAGCCAGCCUGAGAGGGUGGACGGCCACAUUGGGACUGAGACACGGCCCAAACUCCUACGGGAGGCAGCAG